rnacentral:tRNA from 1 species
UCGCGCCGGGGGGGCGGGUGAUCCUGGCCGGGUUGCUGACCCGUCAGGCGGCGCAGGUUCUUUCCGCCUACCGGCGCCAG